rnacentral:lncRNA from 1 species
CUGUUUAACAAUAUCGACAUAAAUGAAUAUACUAACAUAAAUGAAGGUGCAACUAUAAAAACUAUAGAAAUUAAAACAAAUGUACAAACUUUUGAUAAAACAAUUCAAAUGUUUUAUAAUUUUAUUAAAAGUUUAAUGCAAUAUGGGUUUAGUAGUGAUGAGUUGGAAAAUUAUAAAAUUAAUAAAAUGUAUGAUGAUUUGUGCGAGGAUAGUUACACCGAUGUUGUGGAAACGGGUUCUACAUCUGGGAGUGAUACAACUACUACUACUACUACUACUACUACUGCAACUACUACCACUACUACUACCAAUACUACUAUCACCCCCCACAGUGGUAAAAAUAGUAAAUUGAUCCACCCCGAAAAAGAAGACGAAUUUAUACAGGACAAUAAAAUAAACGAAACGUAUGCUGAUGAAAUACAAAAAAUAAUCGAUUAUAAUUCAUGUAAGCAUAUUUAUAUGAAUGAAAAAAGAGAAAAAAUAAUAAGAAAACAAAUAUUUAAUAAUUUAACAAUCGAAGAAAUUAAUUUAUUUGCUAAGAAUUAUUUCAAAUAUUUAUUUAAUGUAUUUACUCAAAAUACAAAUUUUAAACCAAAUUGUAUUAUUGUUCAUGUACCUAAUGAAUCUUCUCACUUAUUUGAUAAACAAAAAAUCAAAAAAUUGUUUUAUAAUAAUAUAUAUUCAACUGAACAUGUUCCUGACUAUUCUUUUAGUAUUCAAAAUAAAUUAUUAUCAGAUAAUUACAUUUUUGAAAAUAUAACAAAAAAUGUGAAUCAAUCCAAAUAUAUAAACAACAAAAAUAGAAGUGCUAAUCUUAAUAAUAGCAAAACUAUUUUUGAUUAUAUCUUUCACAAAUUAGAAAAUAUAAAAAAUAACAACACAUUGACACAGUUGAGUUAUGGUAGAGAUAGUAGUACUACCGAAGGAUAUAGCCCCUAUAGCGACAAUAACAUUUUAUGUUCUAUUCACGAUUUAAAUACAAUUCCUAACUUUAAUUUUUUUCAAAAUUGUUAUAAUAUAAAUAAUAUACAACUAAAAAACGAACUAGGUGAUCAUACAGAACACAUAACUGAUAGAACAGAAUUAUAUUCGUUAAAACGGGGGGAGCAAAAUGAAAAAUAUUUAAAAUUGAAAAAAAAAAAAAGACAUAAACGGGUAUGACAGGCUAUAUACAGAUACAGAAAGGUCAUCUAAUAUGGAUAAGGAGUUAACCAAUACUUUUACAGAUGCACCGCAUAAUACUUUUACAGACGUACCACAU